AGAGUUUGAUCCUGGCUCAGGAUGAACGCUGGCGGCGUGCCUAAUACAUGCAAGUCGAGCGAACGGACGAGAAGCUUGCUUCUCUGAUGUUAGCGGCGGACGGGUGAGUAACACGUGGAUAACCUACCUAUAAGACUGGGAUAACUUCGGGAAACCGGAGCUAAUACCGGAUAAUAUUUUGAACCGCAUGGUUCAAAAGUGAAAGACGGUCUUGCUGUCACUUAUAGAUGGAUCCGCGCUGCAUUAGCUAGUUGGUAAGGUAACGGCUUACCAAGGCAACGAUGCAUAGCCGACCUGAGAGGGUGAUCGGCCACACUGGAACUGAGACACGGUCCAGACUCCUACGGGAGGCAGCAGUAGGGAAUCUUCCGCAAUGGGCGAAAGCCUGACGGAGCAACGCCGCGUGAGUGAUGAAGGUCUUCGGAUCGUAAAACUCUGUUAUUAGGGAAGAACAUAUGUGUAAGUAACUGUGCACAUCUUGACGGUACCUAAUCAGAAAGCCACGGCUAACUACGUGCCAGCAGCCGCGGUAAUACGUAGGUGGCAAGCGUUAUCCGGAAUUAUUGGGCGUAAAGCGCGCGUAGGCGGUUUUUUAAGUCUGAUGUGAAAGCCCACGGCUCAACCGUGGAGGGUCAUUGGAAACUGGAAAACUUGAGUGCAGAAGAGGAAAGUGGAAUUCCAUGUGUAGCGGUGAAAUGCGCAGAGAUAUGGAGGAACACCAGUGGCGAAGGCGACUUUCUGGUCUGUAACUGACGCUGAUGUGCGAAAGCGUGGGGAUCAAACAGGAUUAGAUACCCUGGUAGUCCACGCCG
rnacentral:rRNA from 1 species